GUAUGUAUGAAUUUUGAAUCAUUUGAUCAAGUUUUUAAAAAAUCUCUUGGGUUUUGCUUGAGGUCUCAUUGAAUUUGUAGUGUAGGUUAAUGAUCAUUCAUUAUUAAUUGGUUUCGCAGAUAUGUAUCAAGUUCCUGCUAUGAACCAGACUAACUGCUAGAGUAGUGGAAAAAAAAAGUCUUCCCUAUGGAACAUCUGCAUAAAAGAGUCAAAACCAUGGGGGAGCCAUAGCCAUGGGCUCCCUAAACGUUUGCUGAAAAAUCACUGGCAUGGGGCAGAUUGGUUCAUAGGAUAAAAGACAUACAAACUUACUUACCAUGUAUACACAGGAGCCUUCAGGAUGAAGAUGCAACCCAAAAAUAAGAUAUGAUAGGUUAUAUACCAUCCUGAGGCCACAGUAAAGAAUGCAGACUCAGAACAUGGCCAAAAGCAAGUUAUGUUGGUAAAUCAGGUUUAGUGGCAAGACAGGGAGAAAAAAAGAAGCUUGGCUGGCAAGGGGAGCCUUGCUAUGUAGAUGAAGCCUCCCUGAGAGAGAAUAGAUGGUAAAUGUUUCUUUUCAGACUGUUGAAGAUCUCAGACUCACGAAGAUGUCAGACUCUCAAUCCCUCCUGGAUCUUGAAAGCAUGCAGGAAAAAACUUUCAAAAGGUUACAACCAGAGACCUGAAGGAAGCAAGGAAGAAAGCCACAUGGUUGUCAAAGAGAAGAGGAAAGGAGAACACUAAGCUGGAUGACGUUCUCUGUUUCUUUGAAAACAGAGAAGAUGACAAGUUAAGGAGAGAUCAGAGGUCAUACUGUGAAGCAUCUUUGGAUAAAUGGCAGGGACUUUGGAAUUUCUUUUUGAAUGUGAGCAUAAUCCAUUGAAAGGUGUCAUGCAGGGAAGUGGCAAAACACUUUUAAAAUUUUUCAUCUUUUCUUUCUGAAGUAGAGUUCACUCUCCAUUUAUUUGUCUUCUUUGAUAUCUCUCAAUAGAAUGUUGCAGUUUUAGUAUUCUCCUAUUAAACAUUUGUUUAACUUUCUUGUUCUUCUAAAUCAUAAUUUAUUUUCAUAAUUAGUGUCUCCGAAAUGCCAGAGUUUCUGACUAGGUCUGCUACUCACCACACAAAAAGCCAAUCACUGAGACACAAGUAUUGACAGGUAAGAAGGCUUUAAUCAGGUGCUGCAGCCUAGUUGAUGAGAGAUUAGUCUCAAAUCCACCUCCCUGAUGGACUAAAAUCUGGGGAUUAUGUAGUAGAGAAGAAAUGUGACUAUAUCUGAGAAAAUAGGAAUCGGGGAAGGAUAAGCAAGAGGAGUUGGUCAACAAGACACAGGUGGUCAGUUAGGCCACCAUGAUGGGUGAGGGAUCUGGCAUCCCAUUGUCUAGAUGCGGUGAUCUCAGUGAUCUCGUGAGUUUUAGCUCCUUGAUACUAUCUAGGAGGCCUGAGGGUUGGUUUCCUAAGAAACGAACUCAGGUAAGAGAGAAAUGUCACUUUCUUAAGUUUCAUGACUAGGAAGGUCAAUUUCUAUGUUUAUUCAAAAAAACCCAUAAACAUCAGUUCUGUGGGACAAUUGGGUCAGUUUCAUCAGCAUUUUAGCAAAAAACAUCUUAUAGGUCCCUUCAGUAGUUAAUUCGCAGGGUCUGUGAACACUGUGUUGUACCAAUGAUUCAUAAGUAAGUCUCUGCAGAUCCAUUCAAGAACAUAAGUUUCUAGGGAGCUAGGGAGAACGGUCUGGGAUUACCUUUAUGUCUGGUCUGCUCUAGUCACCUCAGAAGAGACGGGGGACAGAUUCGAGCACAUUAAAAUGAGAUGAGCUGUACCUUCCUCUUAAUUUUGCUAUGAAUCUAAAACUGCUCUAAAAUAAAUGGUAUUUUAAAACAUCAGAUGAGUGCUUUCUAGGAAAACUGUGACCUCAUCCAACAAACUCUUACAGUUCUCUUGCUCUGGUGGACUCUGGUUCUCAGGCCCUUAGAUCUUUCCUAAAUUAAAUACCUUAGAUCAGCAUCCCCCAAAAUAUAUGUGGAGGCUCAGAUCCUAAAGGUCUGGAUUCUAAUGUGCAACAAAAUUUGAGAAUAACUAUUCAAGACUGACCUUUGAUCUCCUACUUUUUUUUGGAAGAUCCAGGAUUCCCUAUCACUGUACUAACAGUAAUCAGGACAGGCCUUGGAAAGCAAGUAAUCUGAUUGGAGUUGCCCAACAUGAAAUUGCCAUGAAGUUAAGUUUCUGAUUCAGAGAAAAACAGAUGAAGAGAAAUUCAAUAUCAAAUUUUAUUUAGGCCUUCAUUUAUGUGAAAAAAGAUAUAUGUAUUUGUGAUCUAACAAUUUUAUUUUUAUCCUUAUAAUUUUCUAGGAAACACUCUGGGUAAAAUUUAGAAAAUGGUACAGAUAGACACAGAGCAUACUGGAAAGGCUAUACCAUGAGGUGAUACUUUGAGGAUAAGACCUUUUGAAGAUGUAGAGAAUAACUUACUUUAAUGAAACGAGAAUGAGUUAGUAUGGGAGAAGUCCUGGGUUCAAAGCUCUAGUCACUUAACUUGACAAAACCUUAGUUUACUCAGCUGUAAAAUGGAGAAAUAGCAGAUAUGUCUUUUAUAAGAUUUUUGUGAAAAUCAAAUAUGAAAAUGUAUGUUAAAGUAAUCAAUCAAGGGCUAAAAACAUACAAACUACCAAUCCACUUACAUUUCUAGAAAGUAUAUAUCAUUGGUUCAUGUGUUAAGAGAGAGCUCUCCUUCUCCACAUACAUCCUUGGGAUAAAGUUUGCCAGACACUCAGGCCUUGGGUGAAAGAAACUCUAGAGCUGAAACUCUUCCAAGUAAUUUAUAACCAUAAAGCAAACAUCUGCAAAGACUGAAAUCUGUUUAAAAUGUAGGCUACAUUUAUUUUUUCACACACUACUAUUGUCAUAUAAAAAUAACAUAAAAAUAGUAAAAAGUAAAAUUAAGAAGUCAUUGGGAAAUACCCAAUUGCCCUUUUCAUACUUGAAGUAUAGGACUCUUAGGAUGUUCACAAUCUCCAAUAUGAAGCCACUAGUCUUGUAACACUUGCAAAAGACCACAGAAAAGGUACAGAGACUAGAUGAAAUAGGAAACCCAGUAUUUGUAUUUUAUCCAACUUGUAGUUAUCAUCAAGCUGAUCACAUACUAUGUGUAACGUGCUAUGUUAGGCACAGCAAGGAAUACAGGGAAGCAUUAACCAUCAAAGAGCUUACAAUGAGGGUGGGAAAACAAAACACACACCUGUCAAUAUUUAAUUAAAACUAUGACAGAUGAAACAGCAGCCAUAUCAGAAGAUAAGAAAAUAAAAGCAACAAUUAAUAUGAUUCAAUAUGUAACAACUACAGAAAAAUACCACUCUGGUUUCUUAAAAGGAUGACAUUUAAGUGUCAUUUAUUAAAGGAUAAUUUUCAAAAAUCAGGUAAAAUCAUGAGUCUCAUAUAGAUAUAAAAUGAAUACGUGUUAAAGAUUGUUUUAAACUCAUUAUUAAUGUGGAAAACAGUAAGCUGUUACAAUCAGUUUUAAAAAUAAGUUAAAGGAGCAGAAGGUUAUG
rnacentral:lncRNA from 1 species